AUGAGAGUUUGAUCCUGGCUCAGGAUGAACGCUGGCGGCGUGCCUAAUACAUGCAAGUCGAACGCUGGAGAUCUAGCUUGCUAGAUUGAAGGAGUGGCGAACGGGUGAGUAAUACAUAAGCAACCUACCCACGAAGACUGGGAUAAUCUCUGGAAACGGGGACUAAUACCGGAUAGGUAAUCGGAAGGCAUCUUCUGGUUAUUAAAGGUUAAAAACACUGGUGGAUGGGCUUAUGGCGCAUUAGUUAGUUGGUGAGGUAACGGCCCACCAAGACGAUGAUGCGUAGCCGGCCUGAGAGGGUGAACGGCCACAUUGGGACUGAGACACGGCCCAGACUCCUACGGGAGGCAGCAGUAGGGAAUUUUCGGCAAUGGGGGAAACCCUGACCGAGCAACGCCGCGUGAGUGAAGACGGCCUUCGGGUUGUAAAGCUCUGUUGUAAGGGAAGAACGGUAGAUAGAGAAUAUCUAAGUGACGGUACCUUACCAGAAAGCCACGGCUAACUAC
rnacentral:rRNA from 1 species